GAACAAAUUUAUUUGAGCAUAACGAAAGCUUGUGCUCAAAUAAAUUGGUUAGUCUCUAAGGUGCCACAAGUACUCCUUUCCUUUUUGCGGAUACAGACUAACACGGCUGCUACUCAGAAACCUCUCUAACGAUGACAUCAUGACAGAAACACAUUUUAGACAAAUUCUUUGAACUAAUUGCAUAUGACCACUAAUCAAUCUUGAGUAAACACCUCGGACACACAAAGGAACAACAAGCUAUAUGCGCGAAAGAGAGAGAGAGAAUUUACCAGAGAAAAGACUGGUAAUCUCCAGGCAGGCAUUGAGAAAGUGAG